UACGUAGGCAGCGAGCGUUGUUCGGAAUUAUUGGGCGUAAAGGGCGCGUAGGCGGCGCGGUAAGUCGGGUGUGAAAUCUCGGAGCUUAACUCCGAAACUGCAUUCGAUACUGCCGUGCUUGAGGACUGGAGAGGAGACUGGAAUUUACGGUGUAGCGGUGAAAUGCGUAGAUAUCGUAAGGAAGACCAGUGGCGAAGGCGGGUCUCUGGACAGUAACUGACGCUGAGGAGCGAAAGCGUGGGGAGCGAACAGG
rnacentral:rRNA from 1 species